rnacentral:lncRNA from 1 species
AUGCUGAGGUUGUCAAUACAAGCCUCUAUCAUCAGUACAAGUCUGGGACUCCUCAGACCUUAUGCCACCGCUGCUAGAGCAAGGGUGCAUGGAGUAGCCACAUUUCUGUCAAGAUGCUGCAUUGAAACUUACCUGGCUACUAAAGAACUAAGGAUUAAAGACCACAACUUCAUUGUCAGAGGUGGACCUCACAGUUCAGGGUGGAAAAAGUAAUGAGCAUCAAAUGUAGUUUACUGGAUGCACCUUUCAGAAAACAAAUUGCAUACUGCAGCUCCUUAAAACUUCCAGCUAUACAUUACUGAGUAUACUUCAUUGCUGUGAAGACAACCUGAUACGUGUUACACAAACAUAACUGAAGACUCUGUCUCAGAUUCCAAGAGCUGGAAACAAGACAUGGAGAAAACUACUUCUAUUUCUGCUUGUCCAUACAACAGAAAAUAAUUGCAGAAGAAAUCUGACUGAGGAUCUGUGAGCCAUUAGAGGCCUUAAAUAUCUUGAUGCAAUAUCUAGGUUUGGUAUAAAAUUUGUAUUUUGCACCAUUCUCAUAAAAGGAUGUAUAAGUUUGAGUACCCCUUCCACUGUUCCUUCCGUCCCUUAAUCACAAGGGAACAACAAUCAUCCCAACCAUAUAUUUUUCUUGUUUCUAGAUGUCCUCCAAUCUGCUGCUGGGAUUGACGACUCAGAUGUUCUCAAUCCUGAGCCCAAAGUUUUCCUUAGGUAUUGAAGAAACAUCCUGUAGCUAAUCCUGUAAGUAUUGUAGGGGGAAAAAAACCCAGCCAACCAACCAACCAACCAACCAACCAACCAACCAACCAACCAACCAAAGUUUAGUUCAAGGAGGGAGAGUUUUAUGAGAAAUAAACCAACUGAAACAGGAGGAACA